UACGGGGGAGCAAGCGGUUGUUCGGAUUUACUGGGCGUAAAGGGCGCGUAGGCGGUCAGCACAAGUCAGUUGUGAAAUCUCCGGGCUUAACUCGGAAAGGUCAACUGAUACUGUGCGACUAGAGUGCAGAAGGGGCAACUGGAAUUCUCGGUGUAGCGGUGAAAUGCGUAGAUAUCGAGAGGAACACCUGCGGCGAAGGCGGGUUGCUGGGCUGACACUGACGCUGAUG
rnacentral:rRNA from 1 species